UUCUUAUCCAGAGAGGUGGAGGGACUGGCCCUGCGAAACCUCGGCAACGGGUUCUUAUGAAUACCGUGCCAAUUCCAUCAAGUCAUAUGACUUGAGAGAUGAGAA
rnacentral:ncRNA from 2 species